GGAAUAUUGGACAAUGGGCGCAAGCCUGAUCCAGCCAUGCCGCGUGAGUGAUGAAGGCCUUAGGGUUGUAAAGCUCUUUCGUCAGGGAAGAUAAUGACGGUACCUGAAGAAGAAGACCCGGCUAACUCCGUGCCAGCAGCCGCGGUAAUACGAAGGGGGCUAGAGUGGCUCGGAAUCACUGGGCGUAAAGCGCACGUAGGCGGCUUUCUAAGUCAGGGGUGAAAUCCUGGAGCUCAACUCCAGAACUGCCUUUGAUACUGGAAAGCUUGAGUUCGGGAGAGGUGAGUGGAACUGCGAGUGUAGAGGUGAAAUUCGUAGAUAUUCGCAAGAACACCAGUGGCUAAGGCGGCUCACUGGCCCGAUACUGACGCUGAGGUGCGAAAGCGUGGGGAGCAA
rnacentral:rRNA from 1 species